UCAGGCAUUGCAUUUCAUCUCAUCAUUCGAUCAUCUGAGCAAGAUACGGAUCAAAUAAUAAGAUAUUAUCUUAGAGCUCUUUGAUCGAUUUUUGAACUUCACCUUUGACUCCCUUGAUUCAAGAUGAAAUCUACUCAUCUGAGCAAUCUGUGCAUUAAAAAGCCUGGAUAGAAACAUUACAAACAGCCCGGCUGUCACGUAUGGUAUUAUCUGUUCUAACAUAAUUGUAAAUCAUCUGUUGGAUAUUAAUCAACGGAAGUUGAGGUGGAAUGCUUCUUUUGUUUUGCGGCCAUGCUCAUAGUGUGUUUUAUUUCUGUCGGGCCACAAACCCAACUCACAAGCAGAAAAAUUAAGUAAUGGAGCGCUUCCGUAGAAACACUUCAUAUCAACCACAAUAAACGAUGAAGAAAUUACAUACAUAUAAUAUAAUCAGUUUGGAUUACCAUUUAUUAUUGUUAAAAAUAAAAAUGUUCAAGGGAAUGAAAGAUUGUUUCAUUAGGCAUUGAAAAUAAAAUUAUUCGUGACAG